GCCUGGGUGGCUCAGUUGGUUAAGUGUCUGACUUCGGCUCAGGUCAUGAUCUUACCAUUCGUGGGUUCAAGCCCCUCAUCGGGCU
rnacentral:tRNA from 1 species